rnacentral:lncRNA from 1 species
AUGAGGCAAAGAGAACAUAGCACAGCCAGGCCGUGCAAUGGAAUGGUGAGCAGAGUUGAGGACAGCCAAAGGAGGCAGACAGGACCUUUGAUGCCUGGCAAGUUGCACCACUGGGAGGGUGAUCCCAGGAAAGACACAUCUCAGGACACUGAAUGGAGUGUUACCAUGAGGCUGAAUUAGAAAGAAAGGUAUGAGGCAUGAGUCAGGGCCUAUAGAAGAAGCAAGUGGAACCAGAUUAACCAACUACUUUCAGAAAGUGGAUUUGUACCUAGAAUCAGCCAAACUCAAGGUUAGGGGCAUAGUUCUUUAUACUACCAAGUCUACCCAAGACUUCUGACACCAGUAACAAUUUGGGGGAUCCCCAGGGCAAUGCUUAAUUCAAACCAGCUGGCUACAAACUUGGGAGUCCCCACAGAAUCCCUCAGGUUUGGUAAUUCACUGGGGUAACUCACAGAUCUCAGGAAAGUGCUAUAUUUACAAUUACAGUUUUAUUAUAGCAAAAGGAUACAAAUCAGAACCAGAAAAAGGAAUAGAGGCCUAGGGUGGAAUCUGGGACCAAGAAGGUUCCAAACACGAAGCAUUUGUGUCCUCAGGGACAUAGUGCCUUCCUAGCAUCAAUAUGUGGUAAUACACAGGGAAUUGUCAACCCAGGCAGCUCACCCUUGCUUCAGUGUCCAGAAUUGUUAUUGAAGUCCAUUGCGUAGACAUGAUUGAUUGAGUCAGCCCACAUGGUUCAACUCAGUCUUUGGCCCCACUCUCUUCAGAGAUUGGGCUGAUUUCAUGUGGCCCAAAGCUCCAAUUCUCUAAUCACGUUUUUGGUCUUUCUAGUAUGGCUAGCCCCCACCCUAAGCCUAUCUUCAUGGUUGGCCCCACCAGGCACCAUCUCUUUAGCAUAAACUAGCUGGUACCCAGCAUGAGUCACCUUGUUAGCAUACACUAUAUGUAUCAUUUGAGGGAUCCACCACCAAAAACAAAGACACUCCUGUCACUCAGGAAAUUCCAAGGAUUUAGAGGUUGCCUCCCAGGAGCUGGGACAAAGGCCAGACCUCUCUUUGGGUAGAGUUAAUUCCUCACUGCACAGCUUGGCAAUACGGGUUGACCCAAGGCUCAUCUAUGUGUAAACUUGUUAGGUUGUGAAAGGGUGUGGCACAGAGGGAGGGAAUGAGUGGUGUGACCAUAG